CCGUACGAGAAGGUGCCGUCCGAGACGUUCUGGGCCGCCCCUCGAGCCUCGAACCACGUGGGUUCCUGUAGUGCCGUGCACCGGUGGAUGCUGUGUGGCGAGGAGCAGUAAAGAUAUCAAGAUUUGAAUGGUGGGUGUACUGGCUGUUAGCAGUGGGUGUGUUCCUGCUGUUUCUUCUCAUCAAUUGUCUUGUUAAGAAACUAAAUGAAAACGGGCUCGAGAAAAAGCUGAAUGUGAUGUUAGCUACCAAUCGAAGAAUAAUUUCGACCCAGGUUCAAGAAGAGGAAAUACCAGAAAACAGGCAAAGGUUAAAUGGAAAUAUUCCGCCCAGUGGAAAGAAAACGUUAAAAUCAAUAAAUGGACAAGAAAGUGGUAAAUAUGCUGAUAUUGACAAGAACGGUAUAGCUUCGCUAAAUAACCAUUAUGAUAAAUUAUGGAUAUCGGACCUUAUACUAAAUUCUGUUCCAAGUCGAUUGUUCGAGAUUUAAUAUGACUCUAAUAUAUUAAUAGGUUUGUUUCGACUUGGUAAUAAAA